CACUACCGAGUUUCAACUCCCAAACCCCUGUGAACAUACCUAUACGUUGCCUCGGCGGAUCAGCCCGCGCCCCGUAAAAAGGGACGGCCCGCCCGUGGACCCCUAAACUCUGUUUUUAGUGGACCUUCUGAGUAAAACAAACAAAUAAAUCAAAACUUUCAACAACGGAUCUCUUGGUUCUGGCAUCGAUGAAGAACGCAGCAAAAUGCGAUAUGUAAUGUGAAUUGCAGAAUUCAGUGAAUCAUCGAAUCUUUGAACGCACAUUGCGCCCGCCAGUAUUCUGGCGGGCAUGCCUGUUCGAGCGUCAUUACAACCCUCAAGCUCAGCUUGGUGUUGGGACUCGCGGUAACCCGCGUUCCCCAAAUCGAUUGGCGGUCACGUCGAGCUUCCAUAGCGUAGUAAUCAUACACCUCGUUACUGGUAAUCGUCGCGGCCACGCCGUAAAACCCCAACUUCUGAAUGUUGACCUCGGAUCAGGUAGGAAUACCCGCUGAACUUAAGCAUAUCAAU
rnacentral:rRNA from 1 species